UAUAAUCCUUUUGCCCUAAGCUUCUUAGCAAGAACUUGAAAACUAGGUUACCAAAAGGCCCUCUUGCUUGCCAAUAGCGUUCCACAAAAUACAAUCCAUCAUAAACAUAGACAACAUUGUUCUUUUUCAUAACACUUGCAAUGGUUGAAGAAUUACUUGACACCAAAUUCUUAAUCCCACGAAUGACCCUUACCGGAGUCUUUGCUUCCAUGCUAUUCUUUAGUGCCAAGUUUCCUUGUAUAAGCUUUUGAUCUUCAGGUACCGCAUCUUUUGAGACCUUAGGAUUCCCCC
rnacentral:lncRNA from 1 species